UGAAUAUGCAAAAUCAUAGUUUAUAUUUUAUGUGUACUAAUCAGAAAUAAUUAACAUAGUUUUGUUAAGAAAAUUGUAUUAAAUUUAAACUAAAUGAAUAACAUAUUACCAAAAUAAAUAAGUUUACAUAUAUAUAAUUCAAAUUAAAAUAGUCUGAUAUGUUAUGGAAACGUUUUAAAAUGAUUUACGGAAAUAUUGUGUAGAUAUUAAUUUAUUGAUUUAAUUCGUUUUUUUUAAAGCAAAAUUCAAGAUAUUUAUUUAGUUGGAGUAGUUGUUAAUUUACUAAAUUACCCAUGAAAAAAUUCAUUUACUUAGUUUUAAACUACCCUUACAAUGUUGUAGUUCACACAAUGCUUCCCAAUUAAUAGUUGAUGUAAUUUUGUGAAUUUUCUCAUUA
rnacentral:sRNA from 1 species